rnacentral:rRNA from 1 species
CCCGCUGAACUUAAGCAUAUCAAUAAGCGGAGGAAAAGAAACCAACAGGGAUUGCCUCAGUAACUGCGAGUGAAGCGGCAAUAGCUCAAAUUUGAAAUCUGGCCUCUAGCCCGAAUUGUAAUUUGUAGAGGAUGCUUCGAGGAUGGUCCAAUCUAAGUUCCUUGGAACAGGACGUCAUAGAGGGUGAGAAUCCCGUAUGCGACUGGGUGCCUAAGCUCAUGUGAAGCUCCUGCGACGAGUCGAGUUGUUUGGGAAUGCAGCUCAAAAUGGGUGGUAAAUUUCAUCUAAAGCUAAUUACGGACCAGAUGACCGAUAGUGCACAAGUAGAGUGAUCGAAAGAUGAAAAGCGCCUUGGAAAGAGAGUUAAACGAUACGUGAAAUUGUUGAAAGUGAAGCGCUAGCAACUAGACUUGCAUGCAGCCCAUCAUCCGAUGUUCUCACCGGUGCACUCGAUUGCAUUCAGACCAGCAUCGGUUUCGGUGGUUAGAUAAAGUCCUUGGGAAUGUAGCUUCUCUCGGGGAGUGUUAUAGCCCAAGGUGCAAUGUAGCCUCCCGGGACCGAGGCCCGCGCUUCGCUUAGGAUGCUGGCGUAAUGGUUGUAAGCGACCCGUCUUGAAACACGG